AGGUUGAAGUGUUCAUUGUAGUGAGCCUGUGGCAUGAAGGUCCUCCCCAGUAAACAUCAGCCUGCAAACAGAAUCACUAGUGCUUAGCAACAGUGUCAUAGUGCCACUGGAAUGGUGGUAGAAGGAUCUCUUCACCCCUAGACUACCACGGCAGAUUGGAACCCAGGAAUCCGCAGAGAAAACAUAAGAUUUCUAUCUAGAAAAAGGGAGCAAAAGAGAAAGGAAGGGAGUGGAUAGGGCAGGACUGUGUACUUCAGGGGCCUGCAGUCUCUGCACCAGGACACCAGGAGACCUGACUCAGAGAAGAGACUAGAAACCAACAGAAAGAAACUAAACAGCUGUCUGAUACAUAUACAGAUACACACUUGUACAUGUGUAUCCCAAUUUAAAGCUAUACAGAAAAUUAACUGAGGAACGGACUAUGGGGUCGUUGAUCUUCCUUCUCAUCAAACUUGCAUCCCACCAACUUCGGGCCUGCUGCAGCUAAUUAUUCUUGGUGUCAACAAUUUUGGCAUUGCAGAAGACCAUGGAGACAACUUUUUUAUUUCUCCAUCACACAAGGACUGAAGAUACAAAAAUGAGUUUUUCUUUCCUAUGGCCUUGGACUAGCUAUAUACGAUAGUAAUUAGCAAGCAGGCUCUGAAUUACACGAGCCCCUCCCACUGACUCUUGUACUUUUUAGCUAUAAGAACCUAAGCACGAACUUCGCAGAGCUCCAGUGCUUCUGUUUUGAAAAGAGAUAAUAUUUCCUAUGGGAUAGGGUUGUCUGGGGGUACUAAAUGAGAACUACAUACAAAGUACUUAAUGGAAGGUAUGUAGGACUCAAUAGAGGUAGCUAUUAAAUUGUAUGUAAGUAACAAAUCCUGAUAAUGUUCAAUUCUGAAUAAAACUUAGCAAGGUA
rnacentral:lncRNA from 1 species